GACGAACCGUGCGAACGUUAUUCGGAAUCACUGGGCUUAAAGCGCGUGUAGGCGGCCCGAUGCGUCCGUCGCUGAAAGCCCCCGGCUCAACCGGGGAAGUGGCGUGGAUACGGUCGGGCUGGAGGGGGGUAGGGGGAUCGGGAACUUCCGGUGGAGCGGUGAAAUGCGUUGAGAUCGGAAGGAACGCCCGUGGCGAAAGCGCGGUCCUGGACCCCACCUGACGCUGAGACGCGAAAGCCAGGGGAGCGAACGGGAUUAGAUACCCCGGUAGUCCUGGCUGUAAACGAUGGGCACUGGGUAGGAGGCUCGCCGAUGGGCUUCCUGCCGCAGCGAAAGCGUGAAGUGCCCCGCCUGGGGAGUAUGGUCGCAAGGCUGAA
rnacentral:rRNA from 1 species